rnacentral:rRNA from 1 species
GGGAAAGUGGGGGCAGACAGCAGUGGUGAGAGGGGGGGUUAAAGGGGUACGCGGAAGCACUGGGCGUAAAAGGCAUUUAGGCGGAUUGAAAAGUGUGCAGGGGAAUCCGUUGGCUGAACUAUAGAACUGGUUUGAAAACUGUUAAACUAGAGUGGGGGAGAGGUAGAUGGAGUUUCUGGUGGAGGGGUAAAAUCCGUAGAGAUCAGAAGGAAUACCGAUUGCGAAGGCGAUCUACUGGAACAUUAUUGACGCUGAGAUGAGAAAGCGUGGGGAGCAAACAGGAUUAGAUACCCGAGAGUC